GACGAACGCUGGCGGCGUGCUUAACACAUGCAAGUCGAACGGAAAGGCCCUGCUUUUGUGGGGUGCUCGAGUGGCGAACGGGUGAGUAACACGUGAGUAACCUGCCCUUGACUUUGGGAUAACUUCAGGAAACUGGGGCUACUACCGGAUAGGAGCUCCUGCUGCAUGGUGGGGGUUGGAAAGUUUCGGCGGUUGGGGAUGGACUCGCGGCUUAUCAGCUUGUUGGUGGGGUAGUGGCUUACCAAGGCUUUGACGGGUAGCUGGCAUGAGAGGGUGACCGGCCACAUUGGGACUGAGAUACGGCCCAGACUCCUACGGGAGGCAGCAGGGGGGAAUAUUGCACAAUGGGCGGAAGCCUGAUGCAGCAACGCCGCGUGCGGGAUGACGGCCUUCGGGUUGUAAACCGCUUUCGCCUGUGACGAAGCGUGAGUGACGGUAAUGGGUAAAGAAGCACCGGCUAACUACGUG
rnacentral:rRNA from 1 species